AGCGUAGGCGGACUUUUAAGUGAGAUGUGAAAUACCCGGGCUCAACUUGGGUGCUGCAUUUCAAACUGGAAGUCUAGAGUGCAGGAGAGGAGAAUGGAAUUCCUAGUGUAGCGGUGAAAUGCGUAGAGAUUAGGAAGAACACCAGUGGCGAAGGCGAUUCUCUGGACUGUAACUGACGCUGAGGCUGAAAGCUGGGGAGCAAACA
rnacentral:rRNA from 1 species